rnacentral:rRNA from 1 species
GCCUGCGCGGAAGAUGUAACGGGGCUAAACCAUGCACCGAAGCUGCGGCAGCGACGCUUAUGCGUUGUUGGGUAGGGGAGCGUUCUGUAAGCCGUUGAAGGUGUGCUGUGAGGCAUGCUGGAGGUAUCAGAAGUGCGAAUGCUGACAUAAGUAACGAUAAAGCGGGUGAAAAGCCCGCUCGCCGGAAGACCAAGGGUUCCUGUCCAACGUUAAUCGGGGCAGGGUGAGUCGACCCCUAAGGCGAGGCCGAAAGGCGUAGUCGAUGGGAAACAGGUUAAUAUUCCUGUACUUGGUGUUACUGCGAAGGGGGGACGGAGAAGGCUAUGUCAGCCGGGCGACGGUUGUCCCGGUUUAAGCAUGUAGGCGGAGGUUCCAGGUAAAUCCGGUACCUUGUUAACGCUGAGGUGUGAUGACGAGGCACUACGGUGCUGAAGUGAUAAAUGCCCUGCUUCCAGGAAAAGCCUCUAAGCAUCAGGUAACACGAAAUCGUACCCCAAACCGACACAGGUGGUCAGGUAGAGAAUACCAAGGCGCUUGAGAGAACUCGGGUGAAGGAACUAGGCAAAAUGGUGCCGUAACUUCGGGAGAAGGCACGCUGAUAGGUAGGUGAAGUCCCUGCGGACGGAGCUGAAAUCAGUCGAAGAUACCAGCUGGCUGCAACUGUUUAUUAAAAACACAGCACUGUGCAAACACGAAAGUGGACGUAUACGGUGUGACGCCUGCCCGGUGCCGGAAGGUUAAUUGAUGGGGUUAGCGGCAACGCGAAGCUCUUGAUCGAAGCCCCGGUAAACGGCGGCCGUAACUAUAACGGUCCUAAGGUAGCGAAAUUCCUUGUCGGGUAAGUUCCGACCUGCACGAAUGGCGUAAUGAUGGCCAGGCUGUCUCCACCCGAGACUCAGUGAAAUUGAACUCGCUGUGAAGAUGCAGUGUACCCGCGGCAAGACGGAAAGACCCCGUGAACCUUUACUAUAGCUUGACACUGAACACUGGUCCUUGAUGUGUAGGAUAGGUGGGAGGCUUUGAAGCGUGGACGCCAGUCUGCGUGGAGCCAACCUUGAAAUACCACCCUUUAAUGGCUGGUGUUCUAACGUAGACCCGUAAUCCGGGUUGCGGACAGUGUCUGGUGGGUAGUUUGACUGGGGCGGUCUCCUCCCAAAGAGUAACGGAGGAGCACGAAGGUUGGCUAAUCCUGGUCGGACAUCAGGAGGUUAGUGCAAUGGCAUAAGCCAGCUUGACUGCGAGCGUGACGGCGCGAGCAGGUGCGAAAGCAGGUCAUAGUGAUCCGGUGGUUCUGAAUGGAAGGGCCAUCGCUCAACGGAUAAAAGGUACUCCGGGGAUAACAGGCUGAUACCGCCCAAGAGUUCAUAUCGACGGCGGUGUUUGGCACCUCGAUGUCGGCUCAUCACAUCCUGGGGCUGAAGUAGGUCCCAAGGGUAUGGCUGUUCGCCAUUUAAAGUGGUACGCGAGCUGGGUUUAGAACGUCGUGAGACAGUUCGGUCCCUAUCUGCCGUGGGCGCUGGAGAAUUGAGGGGGGCUGCUCCUAGUACGAGAGGACCGGAGUGGACGCAUCACUGGUGUUCGGGUUGUCAUGCCAAUGGCACUGCCCGGUAGCUAAAUGCGGAAAAGAUAAGUGCUGAAAGCAUCUAAGCACGAAACUUGCCCCGAGAUGAGUUCU